rnacentral:rRNA from 1 species
UACGGAGGGGGUUAGCGUUGUUCGGAAUUACUGGGCGUAAAGGGUGCGUAGGCGGUUUGUUAAGUCUGUUGUGAAAUCCCCGGGCUCAACCUGGGAAUGGCAAUGGAUACUGGCAAGCUAGAGUGUGUCAGAGGAUGGUGGAAUUUCCGGUGUAGCGGUGAAAUGCGUAGAGAUCGGAAGGAACAUCAGUGGCGAAGGCGGCCAUCUGGGACAACACUGACGCUGAAGCACGAAAGCGUGGGGAGCAAACAGG